rnacentral:lncRNA from 1 species
CAGGUAGUCCAAAGUUGAAUAGGAGCAGAUAUGAAGAUUUGUGUGCUGUGUUUGGAGUUAUGGGAGCUAUACAAAAGUGUAAGGUUCCAUCCCUGUUCUAGAGGAGUUUGUUGCCACAUUAGGAAGAAGGAACAUAUGCACACGAAAAGUAAAAUUACAAAAUAGGAUGUGUCUGGAACAGCAAAAACUUGACCUUGGCUUCCCACGAUUAGUACGGAGUUCAUAUUGCCCACCUCCUGAAUUCCUUUAGUGGACUGCUUGUCGAUGAAUGAAGACUUCAUGUGGCCUGUCUUGAGAAAGCGGAGGAGAAGCUGAUCAGCGUCCCAGCUUACAACUUGGUUAACUGGCAGCACAUGGCUUCUUAUUUACUUUUCUGGGGCUGGUUUUUUUGAGGAAUUAUUAUAGAG